rnacentral:rRNA from 1 species
CCUACGGGUGGCAGCAGUGAGGAAUAUUGGUCAAUGGACGAGAGUCUGAACCAGCCAAGUAGCGUGAAGGAUGACUGCCCUAUGGGUUGUAAACUUCUUUUAUAUGGGAAUAAAAUGUUCCACGUGUGGGAUUUUGUAUGUACCAUAUGAAUAAGGAUCGGCUAACUCCGUGCCAGCAGCCGCGGUAAUACGGAGGAUCCGAGCGUUAUCCGGAUUUAUUGGGUUUAAAGGGAGCGUAGGUGGAUUGUUAAGUCAGUUGUGAACGUUUGCGGCUCAACCGUAAAAUUGCAGUUGAAACUGGCAGUCUUGAGUACAGUAGAGGUGGGCGGAAUUCGUGGUGUAGCGGUGAAAUGCUUAGAUAUCACGAAGAACUCCGAUUGCGAAGGCAGCUCACUGGACUGCAACUGACACUGAGGCUCGAAAGCGUGGGGAGCAAACAGGAUUAGAUACCCUUGUAGUC